UUGUAGUCUGCAGAAGGUGCCUCGGGCGCGACACCGGCUCAAGUUCCUUGGAACAGGGCGUCACAGAGGGUGAGAAUCCCGUACGUUCCGGCCGUCAAGCCCGUGUGAGGUCCUUUCGACGAGUCGAGUUGUUUGGGAAUGCAGCUCCAAAUGGGUGGUAAAUUUCAUCUAAAGCUAAAUACCGGCCGGAGACCGAUAGCGCACAAGUAGAGUGAUCGAAAGUUGAAAAGCACUUUGAAAAGAGAGUUAAACAGUACGUGAAAUUGUUGAAAGGGAAGGGCUUGCAACCAGACUCGAGCGCGGGGGCUCGGCCGUCCCUCGGGGCGGUGUGCUCUCCCGCGUCCGGGCCAGCAUCGGUUCGGGCGGCCGGACAAAGGCCCCGGGAACGUGGUUCUCUCCGGGGAACGUUAUAGCCCGGGGUGCAAUGCGGCCCGCCUGGACCGAGGACCGCGCUUUUAAUGCUAGGAUGCUGGCGGAAUGGUUGUUGUCCGCCCGUCUUGGUGCGCACUUACCACUCCAAUCCCUUUCGAAAUCUAUGCUGACUUUUUCCAGAAACACGGACCAAGGAGUCGACCAAUUGUGCGAGUAUAUGGGUGCCAAACCCGCGUGCGCAAUGAAAGUGAUCCAGAAACGAGCUUCGGCGCAGUUUCGACCGAUCCUGAUAUUUAUGGAUGGAUUUGAGUAAGAGCAAAAUUGGUCGGACCCGAAAGAUGGUGAGCUAUGCGUGAAUAGGGUGAAGCCAGAAGAAAUUCUGGUGGAGGCUCGCAGCGGUUCUGACGUGCAAAUCGAUCGUCAAAUUUGCGUAUAGGGGCGAAAGACUAAUCGAACCAUCUAGUAGCUGGUUCUCGUCGAAGUUUCCCGUAAAUGCCUCCCCUCCCCCGCCGGUUUUUUUCUCGCUAACAUUUUUCCAGUCAGGAUAGCAGCAGCGAAAGCAGUCUCAUUAGGUAGAGCGAACGAUUAGAGGCCUUGGGGUUGAAACAACCUUAACCUAUUCUCGAACUUCGAAUAUGUGAGAAGUCCUUGUUACUCAGUUGAA
rnacentral:rRNA from 1 species